CCCUUAGAUGUUCUGGGCCGCACGCGCGCUACACUGACGAAUGCAACAAGCUUAUAACCUUGGCCGAAAGGUCUGGGUAAUCUCCAAAUUUCGUCGUGAUGGGGAUAGAUUAUUGCAAUUAUUAAUCUUCAACGAGGAAUGCCUAGUAAGCGCAAGUCAUCAGCUUGCGUUGAUUACGUCCCUGCCCUUUGUACACACCGCCCGUCGCUCCUACCGAUUGAAUGGUCCGGUGAAGCGUUCGGACCGUGGCCUUUGGACGGUUCGCCGUCUGUUGGCUGCGGGAAGUUCGUUAAACCUUAUCAUUUAGAGGAAGGAGAAGUCGUAACA
rnacentral:rRNA from 1 species